rnacentral:lncRNA from 1 species
GUGUGUACUAUAGGCGUGGUGUGUUUGUGUCGCUUUGAAAAUGUCGAUGGAUAAGAUUUGUUAUUGGGGCAAGGGACCACUCUGGAUUUAAGAAGAACCAGGAGGCUGAUGGGAGGGUUAUGGCAGAGGUGAGGGAGUAGUAAUAGCAGAGGGACCCGAGGUGUUGCGAAAGAGGCGCAGUCGUGAGAGGGCAGGGAGCAGGGUGGGAUGGAGAGGUGCGCUGGAUGCUUGCUGCAGGAGGAUGUUGCGCACUUCAAUUUACCUCAGUGGUCUGUGCAUCCAUGCGGUACGGCGUAAUGAUUUAAUUUAUGAGGUAGAUGUUUUUGUUUCUUUCUAAUGUUGAUUACUAGUUGCUUUGAAAACUUAAAUAUAUUUUAUUCAGCCAG